rnacentral:ncRNA from 1 species
ACUAGAACGUACCUUAAGCAUAUGUCCUGUAACCCGAAAGACGGUGAACUAUACUUGAUGGAAAAUCGAAACAAUUCUGACGUGCAAAUCGAUUGUCAGAAUUGAGUAUAGGGCCGAAAGACCAAUCGAACCAUCUAGUAACUGGUUACCUUCGAAGUUUCCCUCAGGAUAGCUGGUGCAUUUAAAAUUUAUGUAAAAUAAUAUUAUCUGGUAAAGCGAAUGAUUAGAGGUCUUAGGGUCGAAACGAUCUUAACCUAUUCUCAACCUUUAAAUGGGUAAGAACCUCAUCUUUCUUGGUAUGAAGAUUGUGGUUGUGAUAUAAUGUGCACAGUGGGCCACUUUUGGUAAGCAGAACUAGCGGUUUAGGAUGAACCAAACGUAAUCUUAGGGGGCCCAAAUUAACAACUCAUGCAGAUACCACGAAAGGCGUUGGUUGCUUAAAACAUCAGAACGGUGGACAUGGAAGUCGCAAUCCGCUAAGGAGUGUGUAACAACUCAACUGCCGAAGCAACUAGCACUUAAAAUGGAUGACGCUUAAGUUGUAUACCUAUACAUUACAGCUAAAGUAAAUGGUUGAAAUACAAUUUAUUUACAUUUAUAAACAUUAAAACUUUAGUGAGUAGGAGGGUACAGUGGUGAGCGUAGAAGUGUUUGGCGUAAGCCUGCAAGGAGCCGCCAUUAGUAAAGAUUUUGGUGGUAGUAGCAAAUAAUCGAAUGAGACCUUGUUGGUC